rnacentral:lncRNA from 1 species
AGAUCAUGAGCAGGGGAGGGGCAGAGAGACACAGAAUCUGAAGCAGGCUCCAGGCUCUGAGCUAGUUCUCAGCAUAGAGCCCGAUGCGGGGCUCGAACCUACGAACCAUGAGAUCAAGACUUGAGCCAAAGCCAGAAGCUUAACGGACUGAGACACCCAGGAGCCCCACAUUUGUCUUUUGCAGUGCAAAUUGCAGUUGUAUUCUCUAAGAGGUUGACUCCGAGAGCCACCACCCAGCCCUUGGGCAAAGGGCAGAAAGUAGAUAUCUGGAAACCUGGCGACUGAAACCUCUGGAGGAGGGAUUGGGGCAAUUAUCUUCUGAAGACAGAGCAGGUUGGGAACCGCCCCUCAACUCUGCUGGCCCACCCAUCUUGGACUCUGACUUUCUGUGAAGACAUCCACGUGCUCUGGGGUCAAGUGGGUUUACUUAUUUACUGUCUUGAGACUUUGAAAUCUGCCCAAGGAAUCUUGCAUCAAAACAAGAAAACCUCAGGGCACCUGGGUGGCUUAGUUGGUUCAGCAUCCAGCUUCGGCUUAGAUCAUGAUCUCACGGUUUGUGAGUUUAAGUCUGGAAUAGGGCUCUUUGCUGUCCUUAUGGAUCCCUCUUUGGAUCCUCUGUCUCUCUCUCAAAAAUAAAUAAACAUUAAAAAAAAGAAAAAGAAAAAACAAGAAACCCCAUGGUCAGACAAACCAGUAAUCUGCUCUGUGUCUCAACAUCCUUCUAGUGAAAAUAGGGGAUUAAUAGUGUCUCAUUUUAUGGGGAUGUUGUGCAGAUAAGUAUGCAAAACAGCAUUUUCCAGAAGAUCAAGAGAUAUGUAAGGACAAUUUGUGUCAUUAUUUGCUAUUCUUAUUGAAGGUAGGAGGGGUCAUAUAUGUACUUGGAAAAGUAUAACUUUAGGAACAGACAGGAAUGAAUUCUUGUUCUGCAACAUACAUGCUAUUUUUGAUGUUACAGAAACCUCUCUGUGGCUGUUUCCUCC